rnacentral:lncRNA from 1 species
AUGUUCAGAACUGGGAGUGUUACCUGUGGAAAUAAUUUUCAUGACCCUGGAGAGUGGAUUUCAAUUGGUUCUCCUGUGAAGAACUCCGUUCUAAUUAAGCAUGCACUCAAACUCCUUUACUGCAAUCUGUCAUUAUACAGAAAUCCAAAAUGCUGGAGCUCCCUCAUCAUGGUUUUGGGUAGUAGCGCUACUCUGGAGAAAAAUGGGCAUCUAAAUGCUGUCUCAUUGAAAGAGCCACCACAUGAUUUCCAAGAGAUGGUGGUGUCUGUAUCGUGCGUUCUUCUAAAUGAACUGAAGACAAAAGUCAGUGUUUCUCUGCCAUCAAAUGUUUUUUCUGGUCCUUUACAGCUUGAGGCUUGUCUUAUCCUCACAGUGCAAGCAGUGCAGCAGAUGCUUCUAAAUGACCUUACAUACUUGAGUUCCUUUCUGGAAAUAACACUGGCUUUCGGGAAUAACUUCUGGGCUCUGAGGUUGUUAUUAAAUGGCCUUUCCUGUGAAGAACACAUUCUCCAUGGCACUAUUAACUUGCUUCUGAGAGAUCUGAAUUUUCAGAAGGCAACAAUGUUGCAUCUGUGGAAAAAACUUGGUCCUCAAUAUGUAGGCGAACUGCUCUGCCUGUACCUGACUUGCAGAAAUAGAAAGAUGCAGUCCAUUGGCAUCUUCAUCAUCCAUUUAAUUAGCGAGAACCUGUAUAGGUGUCCAUGGGCGAAGCAUCUUUGCAACUUCCUGAACACAGGAUUACGGAAGCUGCCUCUUGGUACCACGACUGAUCGUGAAGUUGCCAAGUUCAUAGCUGUUUUGGAAAAAUUGUAAUGCUCUUAGAGGGUCUCAAGAAUUCUCUAACCUGCUGUAUAACACCUUCCAAUUGAUUGCCUUUUGUUAUUUCCCCUCAGUAAAAAUAUUCAGCCUACGAGCUGAUUUACAAACAUUUUUAAAAAUCCCAUCCAACCCUAGACUUGUGUGUUGAAUGGAGGACGUGUUCAAGCCGAAAUGUGCUUAAUGCUUUCUUCCAUCUUGCAGGCGCAUGCUCUAGCAGUUCUCUGCAAUCUGGCUUUCAUGGAAUAUAACUUAACAUACCUACAGGGCUGCUUAUUCUAUGGAAGUGCUGAGAAAGCAACAGACGUUCUCUACCAUGACACAUGCAUGCUGAUCUGUGAUGUCAGCAGCAGAGGACUUUCUGAGGGAGCAAACAGCUCCUGAAUAAAGGAAACUGUUCAUUCA